UACGAAGGGUGCAAGCGUUACUCGGAAUUACUGGGCGUAAAGCGUGCGUAGGCGGUUCGUUAAGUCUGUCGUGAAAGCCCUGGGCUCAACCUGGGAAUUGCGAUGGAUACUGGCGAGCUAGAGUACGGUAGAGGAUGGUGGAAUUCCCGGUGUAGCGGUGAAAUGCGUAGAGAUCGGGAGGAACACCCGUGGCGAAGGCGGCCAUCUGGACCAGUACUGACGCUGAGGCACGAAAGCGUGGGGAGCAAACGGG
rnacentral:rRNA from 1 species